AACGAACGCUGGCGGCAUGCCUAACACAUGCAAGUCGAACGAGAUCUUCGGGUCUAGUGGCGCACGGGUGCGUAACGCGUGGGAAUCUGCCCUUUGGUUCGGAAUAACAGUUGGAAACGACUGCUAAUACCGGAUGAUGACGAAAGUCCAAGGAUUUAUCGCCAGAGGAUGAGCCCGCGUAGGAUUAGCUAGUUGGUGUGGUAAAGGCGCACCAAGGCGACGAUCCUUAGCUGGUCUGAGAGGAUGAUCAGCCACACCGGGACUGAGACACGGCCCAGACUCCUACGGGAGGCAGCAGUGGGGAAUAUUGGACAAUGGGCGAAAGCCUGAUCCAGCAAUGCCGCGUGAGUGAUGAAGGCCUUAGGGUUGUAAAGCUCUUUUACCCGGGAUGAUAAUGACAGUACCGGGAGAAUAAGCUCCGGCUAACUCCGUGCCAGCAGCCGCAGUAA
rnacentral:rRNA from 1 species